rnacentral:rRNA from 1 species
GACGAACGCUGGCGGCGUGCCUAAUACAUGCAAGUCGAAAGCAGUGGGGACGGGUGAGUAACACGUGGGUAACCUCCCAUCAGAGGGGAUAACACUUGGAAACAGGUGCUAAACCGAUACUGAUGGAUGGAACCGCGGUGCAUUAGCUACUUAGUGGGGUACAGGCUCACCAAGGCCACGAUGCAUAGCCGACCGGAGAGGGUGAGCGGCCACACUGGGACUGAUACACGGCCCAGACUCCUACGGGAGGCAGCAGUAGGGAAUCUUGGGCAAUGGGCGAAAGUCUGACCCAGCAACGCCGCGUGAGUGAAGAAUGUUUUCGGAUCGUAAAACUCUGUUGUUAGAGAAGAGGUAUCUAACCAGAAAGCCACGGCUAACUACGUGCCAGCAGCCGCGGUAAUAC